CGAAGUAUAGCUUAAUUAAAGCAUCUCGCUUACACCGAAAAAAUAUUUGUUAGACUCAGAUUACUUCGA
rnacentral:tRNA from 1 species